CUAAAUUUAUUCAAGUUAUUUCCUAUGAAGAAGGACUUUAAGUCUAAAAGGAUUGUAUGUAUAUUGUCACAUAAAAACAACCACAUAGAGACACAAAACAACCACAUAGAGACACAAAACAACCACAUAGAGACACAAAACAACCACAAAGAGACACAAAACAACCACAUAGAGACACAAAACAACCACAAAGAGACACAAAACAACCACAUAGAGACACAAAACAACCACAUAGACACAAAACAACCACAUAGAGACACAAAACAACCACAUAGAGACACAAAACAACCACAUAGAGACACAAAACAACCACAUAGACACAAAACAACCACAUAGAGACACAAAACAACCACACAGAGACACAAAACAACUACAGAAUGUGGCAGAACAACCUUAGACAAUAAAAACAACUAAAAAGACCAAAACGUUUUUCAAUUACAAGAAAUCAACUUGGCUACAAAGAGAAACAAAUUGACCAGAAAGACACAAAAUAACUAAAACAAAAGCCUUAAACACCUACAAAGUCUGUAUGUAGGUGAGGUGCCCUUUGUUCAUUGUCUCCAAUAAUUGAACCGC
rnacentral:lncRNA from 1 species